rnacentral:tRNA from 1 species
AAUGAAGUGUCUGAUUAAAGAAUUACUUUGAUAGAGUAAAAAAUGUAAAUUUUACCUUCAUUA